rnacentral:lncRNA from 1 species
CUCAGUUAGUUCCCUCACUCAAACCCUAAUUCAACCUAGCCGCCCCAAAUUCCCAAACCCCCACGGCUGGCGGCGCUACCCAAUCGACUUCAAGUUUAUACCACACGAUCACCACCCACCCAUGUUUCCUAAUCUCCCACCAUAAUUCCCAAAAUCCCCAUAUAAUGCUCUUAGAGUCGGAUCUAACGAAAAAAAAGAAAAGAUCGAGUUUUUUUCUCUUUUAACCGUUCUUGUGUUGGCUCGAGAUCCAUGCUAGUCGAUUGUUCAUGGCAAGAAAAACCGAUUAGCAUUCAUUUCAGGUCAUCUUAGAGUUACUCGAACCGUUUUUUUUUCGGUCACUGCUUGUUAAAGCUUUCUUCCACAUUUGUUUAGGUAAUAACCAAUACCUCUUCCUAUUUUCCCUAUUUUUCAUGCUUUAGCAUAUCUAGGUUUUGACUUUUUUUGCUUUGCAUGAUUUAAGUUUUAAAUUGUUUUGUUAAUUUUGUUAUUGUUUGAAUCGCCAUCUCAGUAGCUUAACAAUUAGCUUAAUUGCAUUUGUUAAUAAAUUAUUGUCUUUUGAUUAUUUCUUUUAAAGUUCAUUUUUCGUUUAAUUUCAGAGAAUGUUUUCUUAAGUUUUCGACUGAAUUCAUUACUUAGUAUGGUUGGGGAUUCAGUUUGGUCUUGUUAAUACAGAAGAUCAAGGGUAGGUUGGAGCAUGUUUGACAAUAUAACCCAAUUGCUGGUAUUUCUCUGAAAGUUAAAUAACAGAAAGUCAAAGGGUAUUUAGGGGACUUGAUCUUUAGGAAGGCUGUAAGAAAGUGGGAAAAGAGCCUGAUUUACUAAAUAUAUUUAAAGUUUUUGGUAUGAAAGGACAAAAUGGAAAUUGGGGAUGAGUAAUAGUAAAGGAAAAAAAUCAAUCUCUGCUGACCUAAUACCCCUCUAUAAGAGUCUCAUUUCCCUGAAUUCAGUAGAAAGGAAGAACACCUAAAAAUAGAAAACUACUAUAGUUUGGAGCUGGAUUUCUUUCUUUGGGAAAAGUUUGGAAGUGGUCUUUCUGGUUUUCUAAGCUGAACUAUGGCUGAGUUUUGAGGCUGUUUAAGUUGAUUUUCUUUGUUAUUUCCUUGCUACCCUAAGCUGAUUUUCAAAUUCAUUUUUGGUUUAUUUCACUGUAACACGUAUGUAUUGCUGAACAUUUUAUUGGCUAUUCAAUCAUAUACAUGAAGCAUUGGAUGAAAUGUGGAUUGAUAUAUUGAUUCUGAUUUUAUUUUUGUCUUGUUAUUCUGUCUUUCUUUCUUUUUGUACAACUUCUUUUCAGCAUGUUAGAGUUUAUCUUUAAAAUGUAGGUACUAUUUACCUUAUGUUGUGUAUGGUUUCAUUCUGUGAAGACUUUUUGAGGUUUAAAUUAAUUGCAUGGAUCCUUUCCAAGUAACGCAUUAUAGCAUGUUAUUCUGGGAAGUUAUUGGCGUAUGUGAGUUUUAUUUUAUAGGAUUUGAUUUGAAGCUCUUAUUUGCUUUGACAUCUUGUUAGUUAUGAGAUUUUGAUUAGCUUACUGUACUUCAGCUGUGAUUGUAUCGAAUUAGUAAUACUCAAAUAGUUAAUGAUUCAAGUUUAUAUUAUUUCCAUGUGAUUAAUGUAUGAGUGAUACUGGGAGAGUUAUGAAAUUAGUCAUAUGUUUACUUUCGCCAUGUUUCAAUCUAUUUAAGACAUGUUCGUUGAUUCAUUGCCUUCUGGGGCUGUUACUGUAAAUUUGGUUAUUUGUUAAAUUAGAUGAUUAAAAGUGACAUUUCAUUGUCAUGAGACUAAGGAACAUGUAAAUAUUUUAUAGACAUCAGCUAUGGAAAUCAAUGAAGGUCUCCUCUAUUAUGGGCCUGUAGAAACAUAUUUAGGCCCAAUCCGAGUUGAGUGUGGUAGCCUGGACCAAGAAAGGCUUGGGAAGUGCCAUAUUUGUUUUCUGUUAUUUUUUUGGGGCCUGAUUGUGAGCUCAUCGGUUUCAGUGUUGUUUUUUUUUCAAUAGCGUGACAUGCCUCUUAUUUGGGCCCAGUGGUUCAGGAGGUUAUAAGCAUGUACCAAUUUUUAAACAUUUUGGUUGUAACCCACAUCAUGUCAUUAAUCUAGGAAUUACCAGGAGGAAUGCACGAGAUUUAGUUUGCUUUAGGCACAUAAUUAAAUAUCACGACUACGGGUAUAGUCUCAUGGCGUGAUUGUAAUACUUAAUCUCAAGUUAGUUUAAAAUAUGAAUAUUCGUAGUUCAUGUAGUUGAAUACUUUCCCGUUAAUAAAAAUGAGGCGUGCCAUUCAUAAAAGUGACUUCCACAAUCUAUCGCCUUCAUAUUAAUUAUCUUAACUCGUGUAGAAAAUUCCUUGAACUUUUAUAGUUUGCAUUAGGCGCAUUAAUUAAAUAAAUUUUAAUAGAUACGGGUACAGUUCCCGUAACGUAGUUGAGAUGCAUAAUUUCUAAAAUGCAGGUGUACAUUUCAUGUGACCCGAUUUUAAUUCUUAACAAGGUUAAAUAGAACGUGUCGU